AUGGGAACUCAGUGGACAGUCCAGAGGGCUUACCCUGCUUGGCUCAGCCGUGACCCUGCCAUCCUAUUACUUACUGGCCCAGCCAGAAGAAGGAGCCUCGGAAACGAAAAUGCCGAAAGGUCACUCAGUGCCUUGGCCACGCGGUCAGCCCCAGAGCCAGCCGUUUGCACCCCAGUCCCGGUCCUCGCCUGCAGCCACUCCGCCGCACCCGGCCACCUGUUGCUGCCCUCGCGCCCGGAGCCGAGUCGCAAGCCGCCGCUAGAGUUCGUUCUAAUUCCCUGGAGCAAAGGCUGGCCGGGAAACCCCGACGCUCCGAGCCUGCUAAUCUUCAGGGCAGGCGGGGACUCCGCAGGGCCUCCCAGCCCCAGGCUCUCUUUGUCUCCUCGCGGCGCUCAGAACAUCAAAAGUCAACCCCAGACAGCGUCCUCUCCCACUCUUGGCUCGUGCGCGCUCGCGCUCAGCUCACACCUGGGAGAUGCUGACGCGUCGAGACGCCCACGGAGGGGAAAAGGGUUCAUCCUGGCAGGACCCGGAGGCGCAGACAGGUUGUUCUCCGUGAGAUUCCAGAGCGUCUCCUGAAUCCCAAAUCCCUUAGAGCUCCUUAGCUGAACACUGUAGCAGCAGCGCUGCGCCCCAAACGCAAGUUCGCGGUUGCGGAGGCCGUAGGCGGAGAGCAGCGACAUCCCGACUCGCCUUCGCUCUAAGGAGCGCAAAGGGAGAUCCAGGGGGANGACUCGCCUUCGCUCUAAGGAGCCCAAAGGGAGAUCCAGGGGGAGGCAACAGUUAGGGAUGCCCUCCCGCCAGGAACGCCGGAGUCGCAAUUUCGAAAGUGACCCGCCUCGCUUCCGAGGGACUUGCCUAUGAGCGCCGCGGGGGUGUGCAUUUCUGGAAGUCUGAGAAUCCCAGAGAACGCUGGCCGGCAAGAGUUUUUAAGUCAGCUCCCGGGGCGUCUGUUUGUUUAUUGACGCUUAGGGGGAAAGUUUGAGGAUGUUUAACCAACCUCAGACCUGGCGCAAGCGAAAAUCUCAGACUCUCUUGGGUAAAAGUCCUCUAAUUUCGAGUCGUUAUAUAAGUAGGGGCUCUUUCUUACCCUGCCUACCCUAAGCGCUCUCGUUCCUAUUUCAGGAGUUAAAUGUGUCUCGCUUAAAAAAAAAUUUUUUUUUUUAAGUUGUCAUUAUUUCCCUGAGUCCAAAGGCGGGAGAACGCGCAGGCCGCGCCCCGGGGCGCGCGGCGGCCCCACCCUUGCGCUGCGGGAGGGACGCGGGGUCCCGGGUGCCGCCGGCUCGCGCUGGAGCAGCCGCGCCCCGCAGUCCCUCCGUCCGCCACUCCACGUGGUCGGGAUCAACAGUUUGCUGAGCUCAUCUGUGACACCUUGAACUUUUAAUAAAGAAAAUGGGUAUUGCACCGGGAGGGUUCGGCCGCGGCCGCCUCGCCGGGUCCUGCUUAAUAUUCAAUGAUCUCGCUCGCGCCUCCCCCUCCUCCCCUAGCAGAAAUUCCACCGAGUCCGUUACUGGGCUCAGACUUUUAACUUAAUUUACGGGGCCCCCACCCCAACCUUGGCUAGUAACCAGC
rnacentral:lncRNA from 1 species